GCACAAUGGGGGAAACCCUGAUGCAGCGACGCCGCGUGAGCGAUGAAGUAUUUCGGUAUGUAAAGCUCUAUCAGCAGGGAAGAAAAUGACGGUACCUGACUAAGAAGCACCGGCUAAAUACGUGCCAGCAGCCGCGGUAAUACGUAUGGUGCAAGCGUUAUCCGGAUUUACUGGGUGUAAAGGGAGCGUAGACGGAGUGGCAAGUCUGAUGUGAAAACCCGGGGCUCAACCCCGGGACUGCAUUGGAAACUGUCAAUCUAGAGUACCGGAGAGGUAAGCGGAAUUCCUAGUGUAGCGGUGAAAUGCGUAGAUAUUAGGAGGAACACCAGUGGCGAAGGCGGCUUACUGGACGGUAACUGACGUUGAGGCUCGAAAGCGUGGGGAGCAAACAGGAUUAGAUACCCUGGUAGUCCACGCCGUAAACGAUGACUACUAGGUGUCGGGCAGCAAAGCUGUUCGGUGCCGCAGCAAACGCAAUAAGUAGUCCACCUGGGGAGUACGUUCGCAAGAAUGAAACUCAAAGGAAUUUGACGGGGACCCGCACAAGC
rnacentral:rRNA from 1 species